ensembl:lncRNA
AUGCUGUUUCUUGUCUCAUUGCAGCACAUGGGUAAGGGUGAUGACGCUAUACGUGAGGCACUUUAUCAUCUUCGAGACCUCAUGGAUUAUGCACAUCUCUUCACAUUUAACAUGAACGUGAUAUACAUACCGAAUGUGCAUAUUGAAAGCGGGGAGAUGUGCAGCUGUAAAGAGUUCAUUGCUCAAGAGCUUCUGAAGACGUUAGUUUCAGCAGAAAUGACUGAUCAAGACGCUGCUGCUGAACCACGCACUGCACUUAGACUGUUACAGCACAAUAUCAGAUUUCUCCUUCAGAAUUCGGUGACGAGGUCUUCACUGGGGAUCUGUCUCUGGGGCUCAUCUAGUUGUCCUGGUCUCCGCUGACAUUCAGGGCUGCAGAGGUCAUCUCUACGUGCUGAUCCACCAUCUGGGCUGGAUAUGUACUGGAUCCAGGUGACUGCAGUGACCAUCUGAUCUGGAUACAGACUGGAUCUGGUGGUUAUGGUGACCUCGGAAUAAGACAAAAAAAAACAGACUAAUAUUAGAGUAGAUGCCAUUACAUCCAUACGAUGUAACAAGUACAUUGGGUCUUAUGGGAAGUGUUCCCAGUUCGGGUUUUACCUAAUUAAUGCAGCCUAACAAUCCUUUAAUGGAUUUGAAUAUUAGAAACAUAUUAGUGUGUUGUGUGGAAGCCAGGUUAAAGACAUGGGUCUUUAAUCUAGAUUUUAACUGACAGAGUGUGUCUGCCUCCCGAACAAUGUUAGUUAGAUUACUCCAGAGUUUGGGCGCUAAAUAGGAAAAGGAUCUGCCACCUGCUGUUGAUUUUGAUAUUCUAGGUAUUAUCAAAUGGCCAGAGUUUUGAGAACACUACGGACGUGUAUGACUACAAUGCGAUAAGAGCUUGCUCAAGUAUUGAGCUGCUAAACCAUUCAGCGCUUUAUAAAUAAUUAGCAAGAUUUUAAAGUCUACACAAUGUUUAAUAGGGAACCAGUGCAGUGUUGACAGAACUGGCUAAUAUGGUCAUAUUUCCUGGUUCUAGUAAGAACUCUAACUGCAUUUUGGACCAUGCUGGAGUUUGUUUAUUAAGCAUGCAGAACAACCAUCCAAUAAAGCAUUACAAUCAUCUAACCUUGAGGUCA